rnacentral:rRNA from 1 species
UACGUAGGGUGCAAGCGUUAAUCGGAAUUACUGGGCGUAAAGCGUGCGCAGGCGGUUGUGCAAGUCCGAUGUGAAAUCCCCGGGCUUAACCUGGGAAUGGCAUUGGUGACUGCACGGCUAGAGUGUGUCAGAGGGGGGUAGAAUUCCACGUGUAGCAGUGAAAUGCGUAGAGAUGUGGAGGAAUACCGCUGGCGAAGGCAGCCCCCUGGGAUAACACUGACGCUCAUGCACGAAAGCGUGGGGAGCAAACAGG